UACGGAGGGGGCAAGCGUUGUUCGGAUUUACUGGGCGUAAAGGGCGUGUAGGCGGUUAUGUAAGUCUGGUGUGAAAUCUUCAUCGCUCAACGGGAAGAGGUCACUGGAAACUGCGUAACUCGAGUGUGGUAGAGGCAAGCGGAAUUCCUGGUGUAGCGGUGGAAUGUGUAGAUAUCAGGAAGAACAUCGGUGGCGAAGGCGGCUUGCUGGGCCAUUACUGACGCUGAGACACGAAAGCGUGGGGAGCAAACAGG
rnacentral:rRNA from 1 species